CAGCAACGUCCAUCCGGGCAUGCCUCUUCAUUUGUGCUGCAAGGUCAGUUUGGCCUUUUGAGCAUUUCUUGUGGGUUCCUUGUGUUGCAUACCUACUUAAUGGUAUUGUAUUGUUUAUCUAUGUCCCUUUUCGUCAUGCGUUGCACAAGCGUCGUGUGAUGAACCUAGAAACGGUCUUUGUGAUCUAACUCUUCGACGCGUAUGCGUUGUGGACAUGGCCCAUUGAGCAUCGUUUGGUUUCUUGGAUACGGAACCUUAUGUGGGUAUGGGAUCUCUUACGAUCCUUGUUUACCCUUAUUGAGCAUUCUCGCUUCUUUGAAACGACCGUCUGUCGCGUGUUGGCAUGUUCAUCCGCGUCUUACGACAGACGUCGGAA
rnacentral:misc_RNA from 1 species